AACGUAGGAGGCGAGCGUUAUCCGGAUUUACUGGGCGUAAAGCGCGUGCAGGCGGAUUGGAGAGUUGGAUGUGAAAGCUCCCGGCUUAACUGGGAGAGGUCGUUCAAUACUUCCAGUCUUGAGUACAGUAGAGGGAAGCGGAAUUCCGGGUGUAGUGGUGAAAUGCGUAGAUAUCCGGAGGAACACCAGUGGCGAAAGCGGCUUCCUGGACUGAAACUGACGCUCAGACGCGAAAGCUAGGGUAGCAAACGGGAUUAGAGACCCCGGUAGUCCUAGCUGUAAACGAUGUAGACUUGGCGUAGGAGGGUUUAAAUCCUUCUGUGCCGAAGCAAACGCGAUAAGUCUACCGCCUGGGGACUACGGCCGCAAGGUUAAA
rnacentral:rRNA from 1 species